AUAUUGUUUCUGUGAUGUUAAUGGAGG
rnacentral:piRNA from 1 species